GUCUUUGUAGCUCAGUAGGUAGAGCGUGAGUCUCAUAAUCUCAAGGUCGAGGGUUCGAAACCCUCCAAAGGCA